rnacentral:lncRNA from 1 species
GCAAAUUCUGUUGAAGUUUUCCGGUCUUGCAUUGAGGUUUCUAUUGAUUCUCCAGUAGAUUCUAACGGCUUUGCAGCUGCAACGGUGGUCUUCUUCUCAAGAGAUGAACGGACAUGUACAUCAUCAGGUUUUGAUGCCGGAAGUGCAGGUGAAAGACACCGAGGAUUUUCUGGCAUCUCAGGGACAGAAGCAUUAGAUGAACGAACAUGUACAUCAUCAGGUUUUGAUGCCGGAAGUGCAGGUGAAAGAGACCGAGGAUCUUCUGGUAUCUCAGGGAUAGAAGCAUUAGAUGCAGCUUCCGAGUUCUUGACUGAACCCUCCCCAGCUACUUGGGAACGUCUAUUCAACUCUUCUAGUUUUGCAAGAGCCUUAGCCCGCUGAUCUCUUGCU